UUGUUCUCCAAAUCAUACAACGGCCCCCAUAUGCAUUGCAAAUCAGGAAUGUUCAAAGAGCUUCAAAUCCCGAAAUUAUGGAAACUAGAGGAGCUAUAGGAGUGGACAGUGGAGGAUGGAGCUAUGGCAAAGCUCAAAGAGUUAGAGAUCAGAUCCUGCAAAAAGUUGAAGUUUCUCCCAAAUCUACCAAAGGCCCUCCAUGAAUUGAAGUUAACCGACAUCUCUAAGGAUUUCACCAGCAGGGUUACAGGAGAGGAUUGUGAAAAGGUUGCUGAUGUGAGCUCUGUCAUCAUAGAAGACGCGUAUUUUUACCCUCCUUUAGCACUUCAGUUGAGCUCUAUACUGGACGGCAUUGCGUCUUCGAUCAGGGACAGUUAGAAAAGUUACUUAACAGAGAAAGAUUCAAAGUAAUGAACCUCACUAAGCUCACCUUGUCUGAGACCAAAUUAAAACAAGACCCAAUGCCAGAAGCUGCCCGAGUUAACAGACCUUAUCUUAUCAUCCAAAUCCUUUACAGGCAAACAUAUGGUUUGCUCACAGGGAGGGUUCAAGAAACUUCAAAACCUAACUAUUCUGGAGCUAGAGGAACUCGAGAAAUUGAAUGAGGAAAGAGCAAUGCCGAAACUUGUAGAAUUGGAAAUCAGAUCCUGCAAAAACUUGAAAGAGCUCCAUGAAGCAGUUAAGAAAUUGAAGUUCACUAAAAUGCCCAAGGACUUAACUGAGAAGUUUAAAGCUGACAAAAGGGUCACCAUAGAAGUUUAGUAGUUCACUUCAGAUCUGGAUUUCUGGUUCUCAGGUAUGUGGUGUUUCAGAUAUCAACUUGAAUGGUGAGUGAAUGUAAAUCUCUCUGUGUUGGUAUUCUUUUUAUUUUAUUAGUCCCUUUAUUUGUCUAGAGGCAAAUGGAUGAUUGAGGUUGCCGAGGAUGUGCCAUUCUAGUAAUUGAUUGCUUCAUCGAUGGAGUGUUCAAGACUUCGAGUUCGACCGAAUGUCAAUUUAAUUGGCUUCAUUCUUUGAUUUCUGUUGUGUGCUUUGUUGUUGUUGUCUUAGCAUUAAUAAGCCUAAGUGACCUUCAGGCAUUGUUAUCUGGACUACUAUGUAUUUUGGCUUAAAAUGUGUGCAGAAAUAAGUUGGAACAUACUAUAUGUUUGUCAAUUUCAUCUUGUGAACAAUAUCUGAAAUUCAUUUAUUGA